CCUACGGGAGGCAGCAGUGGGGAAUUUUGGACAAUGGGCGCAAGCCUGAUCCAGCAAUGCCGCGUGCAGGAAGAAGGCCUUCGGGUUGUAAACUGCUUUUGUCAGGGAAGAAAUCUUAUGGGCUAAUACCCCGGGAGGAUGACGGUACCUGAAGAAUAAGCACCG
rnacentral:rRNA from 1 species